UUUUGUAUAAAAACUGAGGUUAAUUUAAAGAAUAAAUUGAAGAUAAGAAAUUAAAAUGAUUUGUUCUACAAUGUAUACCUGAGAAGAGUGAUUUCUUUGAUCAAAGAGGAGUUUAAUUCAGAUUAUUCAGAAAGAGCUACUCAGAAGCUCUAUAGUUCAUGAGCUAGUUGUUAUUUUCUAGAGAUCAUUUUAUUUUAAGCUGUUGUACAUUGUUGAUGAUGUCAUGGAAGUAGGAAAGAAGCCUUUAUAAUAUAAUUUUAUGAAAGAAAUGAAAGGCUUUUUUCCCAUUUAUGAUAGUAACAACACAACACAGAUGUUUGGUGUUUAGUCUCAAAAAUUUGGUCACCUUAGUGAUUCUCUCCAAAGUGCAAAGUCUUUAUCACUCAAUUUUAACAAAGAAAAUAGGGCUUGUAUUUUUGAAGGAUGAGUUAUGAGCUAAUUUUAAGAUGGUAUAGUUUUGGUAGAGUACUUUUGUCUUAGUAAAAUGAAAGAUUUGGGUAACUCCCCAAAUGCCUUGUAAAACAAUUGGGUUUGUAGAAGGUUGCUGUGUCAGCAAAAUAUGUGAUAGAAUAAAGAGUUUUGUACCUGCUUUAAUUUCAUGAAAGUCUUUUUUACUAGUGAGCUGAGAUUUGCCAUAAAUUAGUAUGAACUUCAUGGGUCUUUUUUCUUUUGAGACAGGGCCUCACUCUGUUACCCAGGCUGGAGUGCAGUAGUGUAAUCAUAGCUCACUGCAGCCUUGCUCUCCUGGUCUGAAGCAAUCCUCCCACUUCAGCCUCCUGAGCAGCUGGGACUACAGGCACAUGCUGCCACACCCAGCUACUUUUUUUUGUUUGUUUGUUUUUUGUUUUAAUGUUUAGUAGAAAUGAAGUCUUGCUAUAUUACCCAGGCUGAUCUUAAACUCCUGAGUUCAAGUGAUCUUCUGCCUUUGCCUGCCAAAGUGUUGGGAUUACAGGCAUGAGUCAUGGUGCCUAGGCUCCUGGGUGUUUUGUGGGGGAGUUUGAAGAGUCAGUGUCUCUUCAUUUUUAUAUAAAAAGUUUGGGUCUAGAGCUGAUAAAUGAAAAUAAGCUACCAAAUAACUUUUUUUUAAAAGUCAAAAUAGAAGCUCUGUGACAUUUUAAGCUUGUGAUCAAACUAACUUAAGGACCUGCCUCUGUCAAUUGAGAUGCAUCUUGUUUCAUCCAUCUUUCUUUUAGUUUUAAUUUUUAUUAUUAUAAUUUUUAUUUAGCUACCCUAUUAACAAACCAUCCUUUUAUUUAAAAAGACCCUGUAUUUUAGAAAAUAGAUUUACAGAAAAAUUGCAAAGAUUGUACAGUGUUCCCAUGUACCCCAUACUUGGUUUUCCUUAUUAACAUAUUAGCGUGGCACAUUUAUCACAUUAAUGAAGCAGUAUUGCUAUUAUUGAGUUCAUACUUUUUUCAGAUGUUCUUAGUUUUACCUAAUGUCCUUUUUCUAUUCCAGGAUCCCUUCUAGGAUACCACAUUAUUAGAUACAGUCAUUGUGUUCCCUUAGACCCCACUCAGCUGUCAUAGUUGUCUCAUCUGUUUUUCUUUUUCUUUUUUUUUUCCUCUUUUUUUUUUUCUUUUGUGUUUUUAUUUUUAUAUAAACAUUAUACCUUGGUAUAUCUGGAUUGGGCAGGAGCCCAAAACACUUUUAAAGACAGGUAACUUAAUCCUAGCAGGCUCAGCAAAUCAAUGAUUUCUUUUUGACUGAGAUCUUUUGUAGCUUUAAAUUGGUUACUUCUCAGGAUGCUCCAGUGCUGUAUAUGCAGUUUUAGGCUGUUCACCUGUUCUGGUAAUUUAUCUGCUCAGCUUCUUGAGAAACAUUAAACAUUUGGCAAGUUGAUCAAGUCAGGGAGUCAGCUGGACCCAUUAGACUGUACACUGGUGUGAGAAUUAGCUUGCUAUCUUGGCUAAAUCCCAAAGCUUGUUGAGUAGAUGUAUCCCUUCCUGUUGACCUGUGGAGGAGCUGGUGAAGUUAAGAAAGGCUGAGAAUCAGAAGAAGCCAUAUUCCCAGACAGACUUGUGGUGUUGUCAGCAGUCUUUUUUUUUGAGACAGUCUCACUCUGUCACCCAGGUUGGAGUGCAAUGGCAUGAUCUCGGCUCACUGCAACCUCUGCCUCCCAGGUUCAAGAGAUUCUCCUGCCUCAGCCUCCUGAGUAACUGGGAUUACAGGUGCCCUCCACCACACCCGGCUAAUUUUUUUUUUUUUUUUUUUUGCAUUUUUAGUAGAGAUGGGGUUUCACCAUGUUGGCCAGGCUAGUUUCAAACUCCUGACUUCAAGUGAUCCACCUGCCUUGGCCUCCCAGAGUGUUAGGAUUAGAGGCAUGAGCCACCAUGCCUGGCCCAAAGUCAUUUGCCCAGAGUCUUCUUUUUUAGUUGUGGACAGUUCUAAUUUACAUUAGUAAUCUAUUAAUGUACUUAGUAUUUAUUUCUUCUGUCAAGAGUAAUGAGAGUUAAUUAGAGGAGAUAAUAAUAAAGUUAUUCAUGUGGCUGUCUGCUUUGAAAGGGAAUUUCAGAAUUUUGACUGGAGUUUGGAUCUCCCACCUAGUAUUAACUUUGCCAGCAGGUGGCAGAAGUUCCCAUGUUAUAAAAAUAUAGUCACUGGCAGUCUCCUUGCCAUGGUGCAUCAGAGCAGAGUAUGAGUCUUGAGGUGGAGGGACUCAUGGCAGGACAGGCGUUUAGAAAGUUUCUUCCAUUCUUUGACUGAGUAUUGGUUGAAAAGAGUGCUGCUGAAACUGUAACCACAGGAGGCAUUACACUUCCAGAAAAAUCUCAAGGAAAAGUGUUGCAAGCAACAGUAGUCGCUGUUGGAUCGGGUUCUAAAGGAAAGGGUGGAAAGAUUCCACCAGUUACCGUCAAAGUUGGAGAUAAAGUUCUUCUCCCAGAAUAUGGAGGCACCAAAGUAGUUCUAGAUGACAAGGAUUAUUUUCUAUUUAGAGAUGGUGACAUUCUUGGAAAGUACAUAGACUGAAAUAAGUCACUACUGAAAUGGCGUCAACAUGAAGUUACCCUUUCAACUGAAGUUCUGAAAUCUUUCAUCAUGUAAAUAAUUUCCAUAUCUCUCUUUUAUAAUAAACUAAUGUUAACUGAUGAAAAAAUAUAUAGUCACUGAUUAAGACAGGUAAGAGUAUGUUGUUUUGUUUUAGAAGUAGAUGUAACUUCUGGUAUUUAAAUUUUUCUCAUUUUUCUCAUUAUAUUUCAUUAUAGUCUGUUUUAUACUUUAGUAGACAGAAUGGUAUCUAACAAUACUAGCAAAGCAGGAACAGCAGUAUUAUCAGAAAUUUUUAAAUACUUAAAAGUACGUGAACCACAGUUGACAUGCAGUUGUUACAUAGCAGAGUGUCAUUCCUGAUAGUGGCACUUACCUUCAGCCACCGAAUUAGGGAAAUGAAGUUGUAUACAAAGCUCCUAAGUAGGACCAAGGAAUUGUAACGUCAUGGUCCCUUCUGAUGCUGGUAAGAGGAGACAGCCUGCUCCCCAAAACUUAACUAAAAAAAUCAGGCCAGACUAAGUGUGGUCAGAAAUCUGGCUAUGGGAGAUUUAGAGGUAUUCUUAACAAAUGUUGAUGGUAAUAAUCAACUUUCAGCACCCAUCGUGUAGACUGUACAGUUUCUCAGCUUGUCUGAAGAUUUACCACUCCAAGGAUUCCCACAUUUCUCUGAGCCAGAGGAUGCUUUGGAAAAGAUUGUGUACAUUGGAAACUUAGGGAGAUUUGAUGCUGAAGUUGCUAAGUACAAAGUCAGCAUAGUCACUUCGUUACCUUGCUUGUAUCUCUUUUUUUCCCUUAAUUAUAAAAACGAAAAAAGGAAAAACAACUAAACUUACACUAAUACAACAUAAAUACACGUAAAUUUUAAAAGCGAUUGUGGGUCUUACCCUCAGUCUCAUUCUACUUUUUGCAACCUAUAGUAUUGCCUAGAAUAACUCACUUAACAAAUAUUGAUGGAAUACCUUGCAAUGGGCCUUACUCUUUUUCAAGGUGGUGAGAUUGUAGCAGUAAAUAAAACAGGCUUAAUCUCCCUGCCAAUGUGGAACUUAAAUUCUGGCAGAAGGAAAGAGACACUAAGUAAAUUAUCUGGUUGAUCAGAAGAUAAGUGCCAUGGGGCCGUGUGCAGUGGCUCAUGUCUGUAACCCCAGUGCUUUGGGAGGCUGAAGUGAGAGGAUCACUUGAAGCCAGGAGUUUUGAGACCAGUCUGGGCAAUAUAGCAAGACCCUGUCUCCAAAAAAAAAACCUCUAAAAAUUGGUUGGCUGCAGUGGUAUGUGCCUGCAGUCCCAGCUGACCCUCAGGAUGCUAAGGCAGGAGGAUUUCUUGAGCUCAGGCAGUCAAGGCUGCAGUGAGCCUUGAUCACACCACUGCACUCUAACCUGAAUGACAAAGGAAGACCUUUGUCUCAAAAAACAAAAAAGUCAUAGAAGUUGGGGAGAAGAAAUACAGAGUUAGGGGAGGCAGGGCAAUGUUGGAAUCUUACAGAGAAGACUCCAUCAAGAUAGCACUUGAACAAAGGCUGGGCAGCAUGAAAUUGAACCUUCUGGACACCUGGGAGGAGAGAAUUCCAGGCAGAGACAGCAUGGGAAAAGCCCUUGGGAUAUGAGCUUGUAAGCGGGCUCUAGGAACAGUGCGGUAGCCAGUCAGGGCUGAAGCAAACCAAGGAAGAGUGAGAGACAAGGAAGAUAUGAGCAGGUGGUGCUGUAGACUAUAUAGAGCCUUGUGUGAACUUUGGCAGCCACUCUGAGAUGGGGGGCUUUGAGCAGAGUAGUGAUAGGGUCUGGCUUGUGUUUUAGGGGAAUGGUGAGCAAAGGUGGAAACAAACCAAUUAGGAGGCAAUUUACAGUAGCUCAGAAGUACAGUUGGCUUUUACCAGGGUGCCAGAAGUUAGAAUCUUGAGAAUUGAUUAGAUUCUGUACUUAUCUUGAAGGUAAAACUAAUAGGAGUUGUUGAUAGGCUUGAUGUGUAAUGUGAGAAAAUAAUGCAUCAGGGUUGAUUUCUAGGUAUUUUUGAGCAGUUGAGAUGAGAAAACUGUAGGUAGCACAGAUUUGUGGCUGAAUAUCAGGAAUGUGGUUGUGGAUAGGUAAGUUUGAGAUGCCUGGUAAUUAUCCCAGGGGCGAUGACAGAUAGGCAGCAGGAUAUUCUAGUCCAGAGUUGAAGGGAGUGACUCAGGCUAGAGAUAGAAUUAUGGGAGUCAACAUGUAAAUGGUAUUUAAAGCCAUGAGACUAGAUGAGAUUACUAAGGCAGUGAGUUGUAUAUAGAGAAAGGUCCAAGGACCGAGUAUUGGUCACUCCAGAUGCUAAGAGGUCAAGGAAUGAGGAAGAACCAGCAAAGACAGAUAGUGGCCAGUAAGGUAAGAAAACCAGCCGUGUGUGGUGUCUUGGAAACCAAGUCAAGUUUAAGGGAAGGAAUAAUCAACUGUGUCAUGUGCUGCAAAAAGGUCAAGUACUGUGAGCUGUAACAGUUGUAGUAGUCAGUGUUGAGGUCCCUGGGACUUUGACAAGUGCUGUUUCAUUGGAGGGCAGUUGCAAAUCUGGAAUGUGUUUGAGAAAGAAUGGGGUGUCCUCAUAAUAAGAAAAAGGCCGAGCAAACUGAUAAACAGCUUUUCUUACAUCUAUCAGAGAAUUGAGGUCACAGGGCAAAUCUUCACUACAAAAACAAGCAGGAAAAUGGAGGAGAUCAGCUCACCUAAGGCAGAAGCUGCUGGAGCCAGUAAUUAAGAUUUAAACAAAUUGCUGUGAGCUAAGUGUGGACUAACUAGCUUGAGAAUUCAAAACCAGGAGCUAGUCUAAGGGGACCCCACACUUUGGUGGGUUUUACCUCAAGGAGACCCACUGGGUUCUCCUGUAAAGAUGGCAGGAAAAUUCCCUUGUGCUUUGGACACAAGAAGGGGAAAGUAACCAUUCUGAAAUACAUCCAGGAAGAAAGUAGCCCCAGAGCUUCUGUUCUCCAUGGCAGAGAACAGUUUUCUCAGGGAAAACUACUUGCAGGAACCUUCUCUAGCCUAGGAGAAAGGCAGAUGGAUGGCUUAACCUGCCUCUAGCCUUCCUGUCUCACAUAGGAGGAAAAAACAAGGCUCCACUAAA